rfam:Asian citrus Psyllid, Diaphorina citri - Florida Strain, whole genome shotgun sequence.
GCCAGAGUAGUUCAGAAGUAGAACGUUGAAUUUGUAAUCCAGGGAACGGGGUUCGUGUCCCAGCAGUGACC